rnacentral:lncRNA from 10 species
GUGAGCCACCGUGCCUGGCCCCGAGGCCACUUUGUGUGUGGAGUUUGCCCCUUCUCCCCAUGUCUGUGUGGGUUUCCUCCAGGUACUCCAAUUUCCUUCCCGAUUCCAAAGAUGUGCCAGUUAGGUUGAUUGGCAUGUCUACAUUGUCCUAGCCUGAGUGAGCAUGGGUGUGUGUGUGAGUGUAUACCCUGCAAAGGGAUGGCAUCUUGUCCAGAGUUGGCACCCACCUGGCACCAGGAAAGAUUCUGGCCAUCCGC